rnacentral:rRNA from 1 species
CAACCCCGACAGGCGGAUAGCCGGUGGAAACGCCGGAUAAUACGCCAUGGUUCCCGGUGAGGGCAUCCUCACUUGGAUAAAGCUCCGGCGGUCGGGGACGGGCGAUGCGUCCCCAUUAGAUUGUUGGCGGUGCAAUGGACCACCAAGUCUACGAUGGGUAGGGGAUCUGAGAGGACGGUCCCCACACUGGUACUGAGACACGGACCAGACUCCUGCGGGAGGCAGCAGUAAGGGAUAUUGGUCAAUGGGCGUAAGCCUGAACCAGCCAUGCCGCGUGAGGGAAUGAGGCCCUACGGGUCGUGAACCUCUUUUAUUCGGGGACAAGGACGGCGUCGCGAACGCUGUUUGAGGGUACCGAAGGAAUAAGCAUCGGCUAACUCCGUGCC